GUUCCCCACACCCGACCCCCACUACGAGAAGAAGUACUACUUCCCGGUCCGCGAGCUGGAGCGCUCGCUGCGCUUCGACAUGAAGGGCGACGACGUGAUCGUCUUCCUGCACAUCCAGAAGACGGGCGGCACCACCUUCGGCCGCCACCUCGUGCAGAACGUACGCCUCGAGGUGCCGUGCGACUGCCGGCCCGGCCAGAAGAAGUGCACCUGCUACCGGCCCAACCGCCGCGAGACUUGGCUCUUCUCCCGCUUCUCCACCGGCUGGAGCUGCGGGCUGCACGCCGACUGGACCGAGCUCACCAACUGCGUGCCCGGCGUGCUGGACCGCCGCGACUCCGCCGCGCUGCGCACGCCCAGGAUGACAUAGCACAAAGGCCUUUGCCAGACGCCAUCACCAUACUCUUGGACUUCUUAGCCUCCAGAAUUAGCAGUGCGUAAGAGUCGAGGAUCGGCCAACUGUGGCUUGUCCAAGCUGGACAGCCCUGCCACUGUGCUCCAUGGCCACAGAUGGCCAGCCCUUGACAGAAUGGCUGCCUGCUCCUUGGACCCCACACAG
rnacentral:lncRNA from 1 species